CUACGUCUAGCAAAUUUCACACGUGAAUUAUACCGUCACAAAAAAAAGGAAUUAUAACUUCCCCUAGCAUUCCCAUUUCCCACUCGCUCUCUGAGAAUCAGUGCCUUGUGAAAUACAAGAGAGGGACCCCAAGAUACAAGAUACAAGAUAAGAGCUUGAUAGAUAUAGAGCUACGUUUCUCUAUGCAUUUCUCUGAACUAGUAUACCGUCGAAAUAUUAUAUAUCUGUGGUGUCUCGAAUUAUAGGCUACCUUCAAUCACAAACAUGGCAGCCGCCUUGAAACAUUCACGAAGUAUGUGGUCAGGCCGAAGAUUACUAAAUUCCCUGGCGUCUAGACUACAAAAUGAAAUUGGGAACGGUACUAAACGGCCUAUAGCACGCAAAUAUCACCUUGAUGCAAUCCCUACAAUUGGCACAGCGGUCGAUAAAAACUCAGCUGAUUUUCAAGAAAAUCAUGAACGAAUGGUGACACUCAUUGAUGAGUUGAAAAGCAAAAUCAACACGAUCGUUGAAGGAGGUGGCGAAAAGGCAAAGCAGAAACAUCUAUCCCGGGGCAAGCUAUUAGUCCGUGAUAGAAUAAAUCACCUUUUAGAUCCUGGCUCACCAUUUUUAGAGUUUUCUCAGCUUGCAGCAUAUAACCUCUAUGGUAAAGAAGAAGUGCCAGCCGGUGGGAUUAUUACUGGAAUAGGCCGUGUGGCAGGCACGGAAUGCCUGAUAGUUGGGAAUGAUGCUACAGUAAAGGGAGGAAGUUAUUAUCCAAUCACCGUAAAGAAACACCUUAGAGCUCAAGAAAUCGCUGCACAGAACAACCUGCCAUGUAUAUAUUUAGUUGAUUCUGGUGGAGCCAAUCUUCCUCGCCAAGCAGAUGUCUUCCCAGACAGAGAUCAUUUCGGUAGGAUAUUCUACAACCAAGCACAGAUGUCUGCUGCUAACAUUUCACAGAUAGCUGUUGUUAUGGGAAGCUGCACAGCAGGUGGCGCUUAUGUACCAGCAAUGGCAGAUGAGAGCAUCAUAGUCAAAGGGCAAGGUACUAUCUUCCUUGCUGGCCCGCCGCUGGUAAAGGCAGCAACAGGUGAAGAGGUAUCUGCUGAAGAUCUUGGCGGUGCGGAUUUGCACUGCGGGAAGUCCGGAGUCACUGAUUACUACGCUACCGAUGACAUGCAUGCGGUACAUCUGUGCAGACGCAUCGUACGAGGCCUUAACAAGACCAAGCAGCCAGAGGUGACGGUCUGGGAGCCAGAAGCGCCGGUGCUGCCAGCCGAAGAUCUCUAUGGCAUCGUCGGCGAUAACCUCAUGAAGACAUUCGACGUACGGGAGGUGAUCGCGAGAAUCGUCGACGGCAGCAAGUUUGACGAGUUCAAGGCCAUGUACGGAGAUUCCAUCAUCACAGGUUUUGCUAGGAUUUACGGAUAUCCGGUGGGCAUCGUGGGAAACAAUGGCGUGUUGUUUGCGGAGUCUGCACUGAAGUGCACUCACUUCAUUGAACUAUGCUGCAAGCGCAAGAUUCCGCUCGUGUUCCUGCAAAAUAUAACAGGAUUCAUGGUUGGCAAGGAUGCUGAGGCUGGUGGAAUCGCGAAGCACGGUGCCAAGAUGGUCACGGCCGUCGCGUGCGCAAAAGUACCAAAGUUCACUGUGAUUAUUGGUGGCUCGUACGGCGCGGGCAACUACGGCAUGUGUGGACGGGCGUACGGCCCGAGGUUCCUGUACAUGUGGCCUAAUGCACGCAUCUCUGUGAUGGGCGGACCACAGGCUGCGGGCGUGCUCGCUCAGAUCACUAAGGACCAACGACAACGUGAAGGAAAGCCGUGGACAGAAGAAGAGGAGAAAGCCCUGAAAGAUCCAAUCAUUAAGAGAUUCGAGGCGGAAGGAAGCCCUUACUUCUCCAGUGCAAGGCUGUGGGACGACGGCGUCAUUGAUCCAGCCGACACGCGCACCGUGCUCGGACUCAGUCUGUCCGCCUCGCUGAACGCACCCAUCCCGGAGACGAAGUUCGGCGUGUUCCGCAUGUAAGCAGCCGUGAUGCUGCGAUGGCAGGAAAAUCUACGGAGAUCGGGAUAGUCAGGGCUAGCUGGAAGAUAUACGGAGGUUGGGAUGGUCAGUGCAAAACAGGAAAAUCUACGGGGUUCGGGAUGGUCAGGGAUAGCAGGAUCACCUACGGAGGUUGGGAUAGUCAGGGAUAGCAGGAUGACCUACGGAGGUUGGGAUAGUCAGGGAUAGCAGGAAGAUAUACGGAGGUUGGGAUAGUUAGGGAUAGCAGGAAGAUCUACAGAGAUCGCGAUGAUCAGUGCUAUCAGGAGCGAGUAGCGUUGUGGGAGUUAGUGCGGCGGAAAAGGGGGAGACAAUGGAAUCUGUAGAGACUGGUGACACGUAAAUGUCGGGUGAGGAAUUGGUGUGAUUCCGCAGAGGAGUAGGCGGCCUUUUCAUAGACUGUUCUGUGGAUUCAUGAUAACAAACGAGGACCAGAAAUUGCAUGAUGGCACAGUAGUCGGUACAGUAUUGGUUAGACAUUAGCCCGUUGUAUUAAUUAGCUUUAAUUACAGACAGUUUAUAUUUUAGAUGAAAACUUGUUUGAGAUUAGAAUGAUAGUGAGGAAACGACUCCAUGUUACUGUUAUCAUGUAGAUUAAACAGAAAUGCAGUCAAAAAUUCGUUA
rnacentral:misc_RNA from 1 species